UACGUAGGACACAAGCGUUAUCCGGAAUUACUGGGCGUAAAGGGAGUGCAGGCGGUUGCGUAAGUUAGGCGUGAAAGACUUCGGCUAAACCGGGGGAGGUCGUCUGAUACUGCGUAACUAGAGUGUGGUAGAGGCGUGUAGAAUUCCGGGUGUAGUGGUGAAAUGCGUAGAGAUCCGGGAGGAAUACCAGUGGCGGAAGGCGGCACGCUGGGCCAUAACU
rnacentral:rRNA from 1 species